GCUGGGCAUGCUGGCGUGUGCCUGUAAUCCCAGCUACUCGGGAGGCUGAGGCAGAAGAAUCGCUUGAACCCGGGAGGUGGGGGUUGAAGUGAGCUGAGAUCGCGCCACUGCACUCCAGCCUGGGUGACAGAAUGAGACUCUGUCUCAA
rnacentral:sRNA from 1 species